rnacentral:lncRNA from 1 species
GACUCUUUCCCUCCCAUCCCUCUGAUGCCUGCCCCUUCUGACUCCCAGGACGCAGCCUACCAGUGCGUCGCUGCCCUGUUCUACCUCAGCGCCUCCGUCCUGGAAUCCCUGGCCACCAUCUCCAUACAGGACAGCUUCAUCUACAAGCACUACCGCGAGAACAUCAUGGCCGUGGUGUUCUCCUACGUCGCCACGCUGCUCUACGUGGUCCACGCCGUGUUCUCUUUAAUUAGGUGGAAGUCGUCAUAAAGCAGCCAGACUUGAGCUGAAAACCCAGAGGUGUUGGCGGAUCAGCCCAUCCUUCAGCGUAACUUUCUAGAAGGCAGACAUGCUCUCAAGGGGGCAAAAAGAAGAGAAAAAAAAAAGCAACACUUUCCCAUGGGUAUCCUGUUGACCUUCCCAUUGACCUUUCCACCAGGGCAGGGACUGGCUGCUAACCUGCAGUGCUGAGCUGUCCAGGGCCUCUUCCUGUAUGCGAGAGGGCCUGUGGGGUGGGACACAGGGAGCGUGACCUCAGAAGACCACAGCAUCCCCUGCUGGCCCCUGGGCUGGGUCUUGAGAAGAGCAGAUGGGAGCUCCCACGGGCUCCGUGGAAACCCAUCUAAUGGGGUGCUUCUAAGCGUCGUAGGAACUGAAACUCACCCGACUGACAUUUCCAGAUGCCACAGCGGAAGAUGAGAACCCUCUGACUUUAUAAAGUGCCCGUGUGUACAGUUCCUCUGUGGCUGUGCUGGGGGUUUGGUUUGAAUUGCCCUGUGCUGGGAACCAGCUCCUGGCAGCCUUCUGAGGACCUUUGACUUAAUCAGGAGGCAGCCUCAGUGACAGUAAGAUGACAUCAUGCACGCUCAGCCACUGCCCUCACCCUCCCAGAAUCCCACUGCCCAGAUGGCAUCCCCUCCCUGGAAACUCGCCAAGUGCCAGCCUGGGCCCCAGUCAUUCCCCUCAGUAGUCUGUGCUCAAUUAGAAUUCCCUUAAACCGCCCAGCAUGGUGGCACCCGACUGUGGUCCCAGUGGCUUCAGAGGCUGAGGCAGGAGGAUCGCAAAACCAGCUUCAGCAGCUCAGUGAGGCGCUAAGCAACUCAGUGAGAUCCUGGCUCUAAAUGAAAUACAAGAAAGGGCUGGGGAUGUGGCCCAGUGUGUUAGUGCCCCAGGGUUCAAUCCCUGGUAAGAAAGGAAGGAAGGAAGGAAGGAAGGAAGGAAGGAAGGAAGGAAGGAAGGAAGGAAGGAAGGAAAAGAAAAUUUCUUAAACCCAAAGAAAACUAGGUACAGCUGUUUCCUCUUACUUUUUGUAAAGCUGAUCCAAACUGUUUUGAGCUGUGUGGUCU